AGUGAACGCUGGCGGUAGGCCUAACACAUGCGAGUCGAACGCAGCACAGUAAGAGCUUGCUCUUACGGGUGGCGAGUGGCGGACGGGUGAGGAAUACAUCGGAAUCUACUUUUUCGUGGGGGAUAACGUAGGGAAACUAAGCUAAUACCCCAAAACGACUAAGGGGUGAAAGCAGGGGACCUUGGAACUUUCCGGGAUGGAUGGAGCCGAUGUCGGAUUAGCUAGUUGGCGGGGUAAAGGCCCACCAAGGCGACGAUCCGUAGCUGGUCUGAGAGGAUGAUCAGCCACACUGGAACUGAGACACGGUCCAGACUCCUACGGGAGGCAGCAGUGGGGAAUAUUGGACAAUGGGCGCAAGCCUGAUCCAGCCAUACCGCGUGGGUGAAGAAGGCCUUCGGGUUGUAAAGCCCUUUUGUUGGGAAAGAAAAGCAGCAGGUUAAUACCCCGCUGUUCUGACGGUACCCAAAGAAUAAGCACCGGCUAACUUCGUG
rnacentral:rRNA from 1 species